AACGAACGCUGGCGGCAUGCCUAACACAUGCAAGUCGAACGAGACCUUCGAGUCUAGUGGCGCACGGGUGCGUAACGCGUGGGAACCUGCCCUUAGGUUCGGAAUAACUCCCCGAAAGGGGUGCUAAUACCGGAUAAUGUCUUCGGACCAAAGAUUUAUCGCCUUUGGAUGGGCCCGCGUUGGAUUAGCUAGUUGGUAGGGUAAAAGCCUACCAAGGCGACGAUCCAUAGCUGGUCUGAGAGGAUGAUCAGCCACACUGGGACUGAGACACGGCCCAGACUCCUACGGGAGGCAGCAGUGGGGAAUAUUGGGCAAUGGGCGAAAGCCUGAUCCAGCAAUGCCGCGUGAGUGAUGAAGGCCUUAGGGUUGUAAAGCUCUUUUACCCGGGAUGAUAAUGACAGUACCGGGAGAAUAAGCUCCGGCUAACUCCGUG
rnacentral:rRNA from 1 species